rnacentral:lncRNA from 1 species
GCAACGCCGCGGCGGCUUCGCACCGCCCCUACCGCCCCUACAUUUAAGUGGGCCCGCGCAGCCCCGCCUCCGUGCGCCCCGCCCUGCGCGCGCCCCUGCGCCUGCGUGCCGGGAAGGUUGCGGCGGGGGGCGGGGUCUCGGCCGCGCGGCAGCGUGGGUUCCUCAGAGCCUGAGGGCUGGGGCUGCAGUCGAGCGCGGGCUGGCAGUAGCUAGCUAAAAUGCCCGCGGGUAGGAAAAGGCAAAGACCCCUCCCUCCCUGUUUAUAAACACUGCUGCUUGCCCCCUGGAGGCCUUAAAUAUCAUCUCCAGGAGAGGGGGUCCAACUACGUACAUCCUCACAAAGUUACACCCUGGUCAGGAAAUGCCUGGAGGCAUCGCAGCGAUGGCAGUCUCCGCAGUGACUGACGUCCAGAAUUCGCCCGUGAGGCGGGCAGCCUCAGUUUCCUGCAGCCCAUGAAGAGGUCCUCUUGACUGGCUGGUGAUCUCGACAUUCUGAGAAGUGCCUGACUGGAGGUGAGGGUACUU